rnacentral:misc_RNA from 1 species
GCGAGUCUAAACUACUAUCUGGAGAAGCCACUAUUCCAGUAGGUGUCGUUAGGCUUGGCCGAAACGCGCUCCUGGCUUCAAGCUGUAGUGGAGCUAAACUGGUCGAUGUCUCAGGAGCGAGCUCGCUACUGUUACUGUCUGUAACGCUGACAGAUACCUUUGCUAGGGGCUCCAGGGGAAGUUCCAUUGGAAGCCUAACCCGUUUGUUCG